GUGAGGAAUAUUGGUCAAUGGGCGGGAGCCUGAACCAGCCAAGUAGCGUGAAGGAUGACGGCCCUACGGGUUGUAAACUUCUUUUAUAAGGGAAUAAAGUUCGCCACGUGUGGUGUUUUGUAUGUACCUUAUGAAUAAGCAUCGGCUAAUUCCGUGCCAGCAGCCGCGGUAAUACGGAAGAUGCGAGCGUUAUCCGGAUUUAUUGGGUUUAAAGGGAGCGUAGGCGGGCUUUUAAGUCAGCGGUCAAAUGCCACGGCUCAACCGUGGCCAGCCGUUGAAACUGCAAGCCUUGAGUCUGCACAGGGCACAUGGAAUUCGUGGUGUAGCGGUGAAAUGCUUAGAUAUCACGAAGAACUCCGAUCGCGAAGGCAUUGUGCCGGGGCAGCACUGACGCUGAGGCUCGAAAGUGCGGGUAUCAAACAGGA
rnacentral:rRNA from 1 species